rnacentral:rRNA from 1 species
CCCUUAGAUGUUCUGGGCCGCACGCGCGCUACACUGAAGGAAUCAGCGUGGCUUUCUCCCUGACCCGAAAGGGUUGGGAAACCCGUUGAAUCUCCUUCGUGAUAGGGAUUGGGGCUUGAAAUUGUUCCCCAUGAACGAGGAAUUCCCAGUAAGCGCGAGUCAUAAGCUCGCGUUGAUUACGUCCCUGCCCUUUGUACACACCGCCCGUCGCUACUACCGAUUGAACGGUUUAGUGUGGGCCUCGGAUUGGUCUCGGCCCGCUCUUUACCGGGCGGCGCCGUUGGUCGAGAAGACGCUCGAACUUGAUCGUUUAGAGGAAGUAAAAGUCGUAACA